UGAUCUCAUCGUGUUCCAACUCGGUUACACCCCAUAUGUCCUCAAGACUUUCCGCACUUUCUGUCCUCUGAAUAAGACGCUUCCGAUCAAUCUCUGUCGGAGAUUAUCCAAGUCAUAUCUCGAGCACAAACGAUCAUGCUGGACGCAGUUGUUCGUUUCAAUCCCUCUUUUGCCUGGACUGCCCUUUCGGGUUUUCAGUCCACCGGGAUACCCUUUUUU
rnacentral:lncRNA from 1 species